UGGCAGCUGCCCUAUACUUGGAAGUCAGAAAGUUGCUCUUUGGUGAGUCUUGCCAUUUGUCACUAGUAGGCACGUUGCAUAAACUUUUCAGGUGGGUGGCAUUUUAAUUAAUAAUAUGUCUGUUCUCUUAUAAGCAUGCAUUGAAUAUUCUGCUUAUCUUUAACUGAAGAAGCAAACAACAUAAGUCAGGAUGUUUUUAGAGGUCUCCAUUUACUAAGGGUCUCUCCCCAUUUUAAGGGCACAUUUUGUUUCUCAAUUGGAAGUGAUUUUGUCUCCCAGGAGAUAUUGUCAGUGUCUGUGGAUUUCUGGUUAUCACAAUUGGGAGAGGGUUCUACUGGCAACUAGUAGGCAGAGUUAAGGAAUGCGGUUAAAUGUCCUACAGUGUAUAGGACAACCCUACCCCCCAAGAAUUACCUGUUCUAAAACGUCAGCAUGUGAAGAAUAAAAUCUCAUAAAUUCAACAUAUUCUAGUUGUAGGAAAGACUUCAGCUGCUGUUUGGACUUUGAACUCUUCCCUGGAAGUUAACCUUUUUUGAAGAAGUUUAGCAUACUAUAUCUAGAAAGAGAUAAUAGCAUGUGAAUGUAUUCCUGACCUGAGCCAUAAUGUGUUAUUCUUGAAGUUCUAGUUAUGUUAGUUAGCUGACUUACACUAGGUAGUUUAAGUGUUUCAGCCUAAAGGGUCUUAACAUUCUAAGUGAGCACAGAUCUGCAGAAAUGUUCAUCUUCUGUGUGGUUCUUGCAGGUCUGGGAGGAUUAUCCUGAUAGCAGAAGGACAAAAUAGACUUUGAGUAUGUCUGAUCAGAUCUUUUAUAAACUAAUAUGGGCUUUAAUUAAACCAGAAGCUAUUUGCUUUUUUGUAACUACAAAAGUAUUGCUAUCCUUAUUACAAAAGGUAAUCGAAGCUGUACAAAAAGGUAUAGAGUGAAAGUCGCAUGUCCCACUUGCCAGAUUUCCCUCUCCAUAUUUAAUAUCUCAUGACUCAAUUCCUAUAAUCCCAGCCUAAUUUCUUUCAGUCUGAAGACUUUAGAUUUUCCACCUCUUUCAAACUUCUGUCCAGCUUAAGACCUUCACAUAUGCUCUAGUACUGCCACAGCUAGCAGCAUGAAAACAAUAGUCCUUUUCUCUAAAUAAACUCAUGGUACUUUGGUUUUUAUUUUUUAUUUUAUGGAGUUAGUUAUAACAUCAUAAAACAUCUGCAUCUUGAAAAGGGCAUACUUGAAUAAAACGGGUUACGCAAAGAGUCAAAGAGCAUCUGAGUGCUGAAUAAGCUAGCCGGCAUUUCCGACUUUCCUAUAAAAGACAAGUAGCUCCAGAUGUCCGAGUCCUUUGGCCAAAGCAUCUCUUAGAUGAGCCAUUUGAAACUGUC
rnacentral:lncRNA from 1 species